UCCGGUUUGGCACCGGCAGUCCUCCCAGAGUCCUCGGCAUGGCCCGGUAGCAACUGGGAGCGGGGGUUGCGCUCGUUGCGGGACUUAACCCAACAUCUCACGACACGAGCUGACGACAGCCAUGCAGCACCUGAACCAGGGGUCCCCGAAGGGAAGACCUCAUCUCUGAGGCUGUCCCCUGUUGUCUAGCCCAGGUAAGGUUCUUCGCGUUGCGUCGAAUUGAACCGCAUGCUCCACCGCUUGUGCGAGCCCCCGUCAAUUCCUUUGAGUUUUAACCUUGCGGCCGUACUCCCCAGGCGGGGCACUUAAUGCGUUAGCUGCGGCACGGACAACGUGGAAUGUUGCCCACACCUAGUGCCCACCGUUUACGGCGUGGACUAC
rnacentral:misc_RNA from 1 species